CAUCCUUCAUACUAUUAAAUUGAUCGUAUGAGAGAUCGAUAGGGCCAUAACUGAAAGGUUGGCCCAGCUUAAAGGAUGGAAGAAACGUAAUAUGUUACAACACUGAAAAUUACUCCAUUAAAUCAUUGCUAUUUUUGUCUCUUGCGCCUUCAUUACAUAUUAUUAAUUGCAUUCUUGCAGAGUCUCGUAUGCAUUAUUUUCUUUCCUCAAAAAAUAAAAAAAUUAGCGAUUUCUUUUUUUUGUAAAUUGUCAAAAUAAAAAUUCUGUCACGUGCUUCCUUGAUUCUUCGUGAAUCAAGGUAUUCACGAAACAUAAUCGUGACUCAUAAUUCUUGAUUGAAUGAGAACAGAGAUCGUGACGCUGCCGAGCACGCAGAAUGCGUGACGGAAUCAGUAUAUAAAGAGUAUCCAAGAAGUGAGUUUAUGUCAUACUUGCACAACAUAAUUCAUAGCUGGGUGUUCAGGCUAAAUUUAUUCAUUCAACUUUGCAAUGACGGUGACGCAUUCAGGAAGAAUUCGAUGUAUCCAGAAGGCCGCAUAAGGAUUUAAAUUGUUUAAAGGUAUCUUUAUUCCAAUAUCCCGAUCUCGCAGUCAACAGUUUGUUUUGCAAGAAACAGUGAAGCUAGGCACAUCAAUGGAUCUCAAGCACGCUGAAAAGCAAGGAAAGCGUAUCGCAAAAUUGUUAUUGUCCUGUGAUGAUUUUUAACGAAAGAAGAACACGACGAAGCCGUCUGAAAAUGUUUUAUUAAGAUUACAUAUGGCAAGCGAGGCUUCCGUUUCCAAUUCCUCAAAUUGAAAAUCCAUCUCCUCAACAUUUUCUCGAUACAUAUACAUAAUAUAUUUAUAUAUAUAUUUAUAUAUAUAUAUAUACUGUCAGUACGAUAAAAAGUGCAUUCUCUAGCACGUUUUGCACUUACUUGUCUAAUCGUCUACUAAAAAUUUGUCUAGGUUUAUCACCUUUACCACUUUGAGAGAAUCGGUCAGACUCCUUGUGCGAAUCGUUCUCUUACACGUCUCUGCACUGUACAAUUAUUAGCACAGCGAGGAAUACGCGAGCUCGGAUGCUACGGUCACUUGUAACCAUGAAUGAUAUCCUGAUAAUGAAUUUCUUACAUUUUGCAGAAUAUGAUACAUAGUUCCCUUAACAAUAAAAUGUAUAUUCUCAACAUAUCGUAAGGAUUUACAAAACGGAUUAACAUACAAUCCUGCAUAUCGAGAAGCUUUCGUUAAACACAUCGAAUCUUGCUGGUACAACAGUUCUGAAUUGUGCGUAGCAAACAAAUAUCUUAUACAUCUUCAAAUCGCAGGUUUUACCCCCUAUUUCUUGACUAUGCAAGAUGUUCUGCAGCACGUGACCCUGAUAAUUUGAUUUUGAGAACAUUAAUGAAUUCAAAGUCGAUUUUUCCUUAGAAAAAAAAUAUUAAGAUUACCUAAAUAAUUCUGAUUAAAUACUUUUGAUCAAAUAAUUUCAGUCCUCUAUUUCGGUAAGCUAUUUUGGUGAGAGAUAGCGAAAUAUUGGAAAUCAUACGAGCUUAAAAGAAAAAAAUAUUAAUCUUUCCAUAUGGAGACUCGAAAACAAAACUUUAGAAAAUUAAGUUCGAAUUACGUUUAGCUAAGUUUAAAUUAGUUUGAAAUUUUGCGACAUAUUUUCGGUUUAUUCUUUUCGGGAUUGGAUCAUCGUGUUCGUGGUUACGUACUGCCAAUAAUGAACCACCUUAUAUAGUCAAGGCCGUCUAUUGUUAACGGUUCUAUACGCAGCGCGUGUCAGAUACCUCCGAUCCCUACAAAUCAUUAAUAAUGUAGAGAAAUAAUGCGCGAAAACGGUAGAAAUGUAAUCUAAAGUCGAAUUAAAUAUAUAAUGGCGUAACUUGAGAUUUUAUUAACCACUACUAAUGUUAAAGGUGCUCUGUUAAUCGUAAUGAUUUACGUAUCGGGUAACUAUAAUUUGUUAUAAAACAAUGAAAGUUUAAAGAAAAAGCUAAAAGAAAAGAUAUUCGAGAAACGCAUGUCAUGCUAACUGUAUGACGUGUUCUUGAUAUGUUUUAUGUAUCUAACUAUUAAACAUUUUUGCAGGCGCAAGUAAUACAAUGUACUUGUAACACCGGUAAAAAUAUCUCUAACAGUAAUGCCACUUGUAAUAAUACUAAGUAAUGACAUAAUGAAGAUAUUAAUAAUAGAUAUAGAGAUUUGAGCGAUAGUAAUAGUAGGAUAAGAGAGUGACUUAAUAAUAACGUCAGUAUAGAGUGAUCGCAAUAGUAGAAGUAGCAACAGCAGCAACGACAAUAAUGGUGCUCUCAGCAAUGAUAAUACGUUCUCUCUAUAAUAUUCCUAAGAUCAAAAAAGAUGUAACAAACAUAUGCAUUCAACAUAAAGUUCUAUACUCAAAAAGAAAUUCUUCUCUAAA
rnacentral:lncRNA from 1 species